AAUACGUAGGUGGCAAGCGUUGUCCGGAAUCACUGGGCGUAAAGCGCGCGCAGGCGGCGAUCUACGUCUGGGGUGAAAGCCCGGGGCUCAACCUCGGGACUGCCUUGGAUACGGGAUCGCUUGAGAAUUGGAGAGGCAAGGGGAAUUCCACGUGUAGCGGUGAAAUGCGUAGAGAUGUGGAGGAACACCUGUGGCGAAGGCGCCUUGCUGGCCAAUUUCUGACGCUGAGGCGCGAAAGCGUGGGGAGCAAACAGG
rnacentral:rRNA from 1 species